UACAGAGGGUGCAAGCGUUAAUCGGAAUUACUGGGCGUAAAGCGUGCGUAGACGGUUAUGUAAGUCGGGUGUGAAAGCCCCGGGCUCAACCUGGGAAUGCCAUUCGAGACUGCAUAGCUAGGGUGCGGAAGAGGGAAGCGGAAUUUCCGGUGUAGCGGUGAAAUGCGUAGAUAUCGGGAAGAACACCCGUGGCGAAGGCGGCUCUCUGGGACGGUACUGACGCUGAGACGCGAAAGCGUGGGGAGCGAACAGG
rnacentral:rRNA from 1 species